rnacentral:rRNA from 1 species
GUCCACGCCGUAAACGAUGGAUACUAGCUGUUGGGAUUUAUCUCAGUGGCUAAGCGAAAGUGAUAAGUAUCCCACCUGGGGAGUACGUUCGCAAGAAUGAAACUCAAAGGAAUUGACGGGGGCCCGCACAAGCGGUGGAGCAUGUGGUUUAAUUCGAUGAUACGCGAGGAACCUUACCAAGGCUUAAAUGUAGAUUGACCGGUUUGGAAACAGAUCUUUCGCAAGACAAUUUACAAGGUGCUGCAUGGUUGUCGU